UGGGCAUUAGUCAAAUGGUUAAGACGCGUGAUUCUCAGUCAUGAGGUACGGGUUCGAUUCCCGUAUGCCCGA
rnacentral:tRNA from 1 species